AGAGUUUGAUUCUGGCUCAGGACGAACGCUGGCGGCGCGCUUAACACAUGCAAGUCGUGCGAUACCUUGAGCGAGUCUUACGACAAGUUCAAGGUAGAGCGGCGGACGGGUGAGUAACACGUGAGUAGCUGUCCUAAGGAGGGGGAUAACGCCUGGAAACGGGUGCUAAAACCCCAUAUGCCUCGCAAGAGGUGAAAGUGUAGCUUGCUACAGCCUUAGGGUGUGCUCGCGGCCUAUCAGCUAGUUGGUGAGGUAAAGGCUCACCAAGCCGAUGACGGAUAACCGGUGUGAGAGCAUGUACGGUCACAAGGGCACUGAGACACGGGCCCUACUCCUACGGGAGGCGGCAGUGGGGAAUAUUGGACAAUGGGCGAAAGCCUGAUCCAGCGACGCCGCGUGAAGGAAGAAGUCCUUCGGGAUGUAAACUUCUGAACUAAUCGAAUAAAAGGGUAGUGGACACACUACAGAAGAAGGUAGAUUAGGAAAAGUCCCGGCUAACUACGUGCCAGCAGCCGCGGUAAGACGUAGGGGGCGAGCGUUGCCCGGAAUCACUGGGUGUAAAGGGGACGUAGGCGGAUGAUCAAGUCAUCUGUGAAAAGAUUGCUCAACGAUUGGCUUGCGGAUGAAACUGGUCAUCUUGGGCGUAGCAGAGGUAGACGGAAUUACCUGAGUAGGGGUGAAAUCCGCAGAUACAGGUAAGAACGCCGGUGAAGAAGUUGGUCUACUAGGCUACAGCUGACGCUGAGGUCCGAAAGCCAGGGGAGCGAACCGGAUUAGAUACCCGGGUAGUCCUGGCUGUAAACGAUGCUCACUAGGUGUAGGGAGCGAAAGACUCUCUGUGCUGAAGCUAACGCGAUAAGUGAGCCACCUGGGGAGUACGUCCGCAAGGAUGAAACUCAAAGGAAUUGACGGGG
rnacentral:rRNA from 1 species